GACGAACGCUGGCGGCGUGCCUAAUACAUGCAAGUAGAACGCACAGUAUAUACCGUAGCUUGCUACACCAUAGACUGUGAGUUGCGAACGGGUGAGUAACGCGUAGGUAACCUGCCUGGUAGCGGGGGAUAACUAUUGGAAACGAUAGCUAAUACCGCAUAAUAUUAAUUAUUGCAUGAUAAUUGAUUGAAAGAUGCAACUGCAUCACUGCCAGAUGGACCUGCGUUGUAUUAGCUAGUAGGUGAGGUAACGGCUCACCUAGGCGACGAUACAUAGCCGACCUGAGAGGGUGAUCGGCCACACUGGGACUGAGACACGGCCCAGACUCCUACGGGAGGCAGCAGUAGGGAAUCUUCGGCAAUGGACGAAAGUCUGACCGAGCAACGCCGCGUGAGCGAAGAAGGUUUUCGGAUCGUAAAGCUCUGUUGCAAGAGAAGAACGGGUGUGAGAGUGGAAAGUUCACACUGUGACGGUAUCUUACCAGAAAGGGACGGCUAACUACGUGCCAGCAGCCGCGGUAAUACGUAGGUCCCGAGCGUUGUCCGGAUUUAUUGGGCGUAAAGCGAGCGCAGGCGGUUAGAUAAGUCUGAAGUUAAAGGCUGUGGCUUAACCAUAGUACGCUUUGGAAACUGUUUAACUUGAGUGCAGAAGGGGAGAGUGGAAUUCCAUGUGUAGCGGUGAAAUGCGUAGAUAUAUGGAGGAACACCGGUGGCGAAAGCGGCUCUCUGGUCUGUAACUGACGCUGAGGCUCGAAAGCGUGGGGAGCGAACAGG
rnacentral:rRNA from 1 species